rnacentral:rRNA from 1 species
UACGAAGGGUGCAAACGUUGCUCGGAAUCAUUGGGCGUAAAGCGCACGUAGGCGGCUUUGCAAGUCGGACGUGAAAUCCCUCAGCUCAACUGAGGACGUGCAUCCGAAACUGCAAGGCUUGAGUACUGAAGAGGAUCGCGGAAUUCCCAGUGUAGAGGUGAAAUUCGUAGAUAUCAGGAGGAACACCAGUGGCGGAAGGCGGCGAUGCGUGGGCAGAUACUGACGCUGAGGUGACGAAGGCGUGGGGAGCAAACAACGGAUUGAGA